rnacentral:tRNA from 1 species
UAUAAGGUAUCAUAAUUUGGUAAUGAUUGGAUUUUUGGGUUCCAUUAUAAAAGUUCGAAGCUUUUUCUUAUAA